CACGAGGCCCAGGCACGCUGCCCAUGGUCACGGUCAUGACUGAAUGCAGACUCAGCCGACUGAUCCCAGUCUGGGCUCAUCAGCACGAGAGGAGCUGACCUCCCGUGAGGUUCUCCUCCUACCAAAAUUAUUUACCUGGUUCUUGAAGAGUCUAGCUCAAUCCCCAGGUAGCUUCAUCUCCCAAAUUCGCCACUAAUCUAAGCUGAGGAAGCAGGCUCCAGGCUCCAGGCUGAGCCAGGAAGAGCCAGCCCCUCGCUGAGCAGCUGCGAUUAGCAGGGGAGCCAAGUAUGCACUCCAAUAGUAAAGUGGCUCCUGGAACCAGUAAUGACAGCAAUUAGAAGCAAUGAGCAAAGAGGAGAAAGAAAGAAGUAAAAGAGAGAAGAGACUCAAGACUGGCAAACCCAUCAGAAAAACGGCUGGGCUGAACAAGGAUACCUGACUGCCGAGGCCAGCCCCAACCUCCGCAUCCCCCCCACCCCGAGGCAGGCCUGGCCUCACCACCCCAUGACUUCCCACGGCCCCUGCAUCAUCUGUGUGGUCGCUCAUUCCCUUGACGGCUGUGGAGUGGCUUCAACAGCAGCUCCCGGGAAACAGAUGAACAGUCACUGGCGAUGGCUCCCGGGGGAAAGCACAGCUCAUCAAACCAACGCCACCACCCACAGAAGGACAGGGAGACACACGGGAGGGCACACAGCCUUGACCCCUUUCGAGAAAUCACUCUUCCCCCAAUGUGCCCUCUCCCUAUCCCUUCACAGCUUCUCGGCUCAGCUUGAAGCCCACGAACUCCUCCAAUCCCCACCAAUCCCCCUGACCACCCUGCAGACCAGGGGACCCCACACUCUGGCCAUGUCUGCCGUCUGCUGUCAGCUCAGGCUCGGCACCACACCUUCCACAAGGAGCUCAGACAAGGGCCUGAAGCCGCAGCUCACUGCCACCCAGCCCCCACAGCCAGGAUCGACCCCCUCCAGCCCCCAGCUUGUGGCUUCCUCUGCAGCUGAUGGAACUGCACUGCUCUUUCUGAUUCCAGAAACAAAUUCUAGCACAAGAGUCUUGGUAUACUGGAGGCAAAGCCGUCUCCAUUCCCCCCCCCCCGCCCCCCGUUAUUUGAAUUUCCCUUCUUAGCUCUGCUUGGUAUUUCUGUCUGUGGCAGUUCAACGAGCUGGUGGGUGUAGCAAAUAAACAG